ACACAGCUUCCAAUUCUGACUCCACCGGCUGUGCCGGCUGCCUGACCUUGGGCAAACGCCACAGUUGCUCAAGACCUCAUCUCAUCGGCAGGAUAAGAAUCAUGUCAAGAAUCAGUGACAGGGUUCUGAUUCUGACUCCACCGCUUACCUGCUCUCCCGAUUUCUGUCUGCCUGAGGCCGAGUGUCCUCACCUGUGAAAUGGUGAGCAGGAAUCCAGCUAGGCCUGGGGGACCCCCAGACCUGAUCACUCACAGCAGCCUUUCACCAGCGGUGAAACCAAUGGUGCCUUGGUUGUUGGCUUGCUCCAGAACAAGGCCGCAUGAUAUCGUGGGGAAAACCUGAAGACUGCUCCAUCACACAGGGCUUUUUAGUUGCAAGAAAUAGAAACUCCUUCUGACUCAUUGGAUCCUAAAUAGAAUUUUCUUUUUCUUUUUUUUUUUUUUUUUUUUUUGCUAUUUCUUGGGCCGCUCCCGCGGCAUAUGGAGGUUCCCAGGCUAGGGGUCGAAUCGGAGCUGUAGCCACCGGCCUACGCCAGAGCCACAGCAACGCGGGAUCCGAGCUGCAUCUGCAACCUACACCACAGCUCACGGCAACGCCGGAUCCUUAACCCACUGAGCAAGGGCAGGGACCAAACCCGCAACCUCAUGGUUCCUAGUCGGAUUCGUUAACCACUGCACCACGACGGGAACUCCCUAAAUAGAAUUUUCUAGAAGGACUUUGGAGAGUUCCCAAAACGGACGGCGACCUGGGAAGCUGGGGUUGAGACAGGCUGGACACAGGCAAUGCCAAGCACCUACAGAGCCAGACACCUUGGCCUCCCCGGGGACAGAGAGCAGCCAGAAGGAAUGUGCUCAAACCUCUCUGUUCUGUUCUUGGUUCAUUCCAGUCAGGACUCAAAAUCCUGAGAGAGGGAAAAAAAAAAAAGAGUCUGCUUAGUGACCCCUGGGCAUCUCUGUGACAAGAAGAGGUCAGGACACUCCUUUAGACCUACUCAGAUGCCCUGCAUUGGGUAAGAGGCAAUUCCAAAGUGGGUAGAGAGAGAGGAGACCACCCCAGAGGUGGACCUCGGAAAGCCAAGGCCCUCCCCCAAUCCGCUGCUGAAAGUCUGUGCGCUCCGCACACAGCCCCGCCCCUGCCUGCACCUCGAUUUUUUAUCCUCAAUGUGAGCUGAUCAGCUCACGUGAGAUUGGGGGCUUUCCAUCCAGAAUGUUCUCAGCCCCCUACUGCUCUGAUCUCCUGUUUGCUUUUGUUUAUCCCCCCACCUCUCAAGCUCACAGCACGAGCUUCUUCUGGUCAGAGACCAGUUUCUGAGAAACCCAUUGCCAAUGAGAGGUCUGCCGGU
rnacentral:lncRNA from 1 species